rnacentral:lncRNA from 1 species
CCUUUGGACCAAUCACAGUCUUCUAAACUCGGUGGAUAAUGGGCCGGCCCCUCUACCCUUCUCCACUUAAAUAUCGGGCUUCGCUUUGCAUGGUGUGGGGCUUGAACCUGCGACCUAAGCCACAAAUCCUCCAUCUUUUGCCACUUGAGUUAGGCCUUGGGGGGGAAUUUCCUGGAAUGUAGAUAGACCAAAAGAGGGAAUGAAGGGAUAGGGGAAUAGGAAUUAUAGUACCAUUGGAAAAAAGGGCACAUGUGGGAGCAUCUCUACUGACGAACCAUUUCAAUAGUACAGGUGUUGCCGUGCCACGAGGCACGACCACGAAAGUAAUGAAAAAGAAAAAGUUACGUAGUUAGACCAUCUGUUCUAUCCGUAAGUCAUAUACAUCGUCAGCAGAAAGAAUAUUUACACUAUCAUAUCACAUUUAUUUAUACGUCAAAGUAAGUAAUUUAUCUUAUUUUCAAGAUAUAUGAAGACUUCCUUCCAUAUAAAUAUCUUUUUGAUGACUAAAAAACUCUUUGGUACACAAAAUAUAAUAAGCGAGGAUAUUACAUGGGAGUAAUCCUCCCAUUUUAGUACAUCCAAAAUUACC